rnacentral:rRNA from 1 species
GACGAACGCUGGCGGCGUGCUUAACACAUGCAAGUCGAACGGUGAAGCGCCUUCCUUUUUGGUGGGUGUGGAUGAGUGGCGAACGGGUGAGUAACACGUGAGUAACCUGCCCCCUUCUUCUGGAUAACCGCAUGAAAGUGUGGCUAAUACGGGAUAUUCUGGGUCUGUCGCAUGAUGGGUCUGGGAAAGAUAUUGUUUCGGUGGGGGAUGGGCUCGCGGCCUAUCAGCUUGUUGGUGGGGUGAUGGCCUACCAAGGCGGUGACGGGUAGCCGGCCUGAGAGGGUGGACGGUCACACUGGGAAGGAGACACGGCCCAGACUCGUACGGGAGGCAGCAGUGGGGAAUACUGCACAAUGGGCGCAAGCCUGAUGCAGCGACGCCGCGUGAGGGAUGGAGGCCUUCGGGUUGUGAACCUCUUUCGCCAGUGAAGCAGGCCUGCCUCGUUUGUGGGUGGGUUGACGGUAGCUGGAGAAGAAGCGCCGGCUAACUACGUG